AGAACGAACGCUGGCGGCAGGCCUCAAACAUGCAAGUCUAGGGGUGUAGCAAUACACACCGGCGGACGGGUGCGUAACGCGUGGGAACAUACCUUUCGGUACGGAACAACCCAGGGAAACUUGGGCUAAUACCGUAUACGUCCUAACGGAGAAAGAUUUAUCGCCGAAGGAUUGGCCCGCGUUCGAUUAGCUAGUUGGUGGGGUAACGGCUCACCAAGGCGACGAUCGAUAGCUGUUCUGAGAGGAAGAUCAGCCACACUGGGACUGAGACACGGCCCAGACUCCUACGGGAGGCAGCAGUUGGGAAUCUUGGACAAUGGGGGAAACCCUGAUCCAGCCAUGCCGCGUGAGUGAUGAAGGCCUUCGGGUUGUAAAACUCUUUCGACGGGGACGAUAAUGACGGUACCCGUAGAAGAAGCUCCGGCUAACUCGUGCCAGCAGCCGC
rnacentral:rRNA from 1 species